CAUUACAGAGAACAUCGCCCGCAAGGGUGACUCUCCAACCCUAUGUUAAUUAUACCUUUGUUGCUUUGGCGAGCCGCUUCGGCCACCGGCUCACGCUGGUGAGCGCUCGCCAGAGGACCCUAAACUCUGUUUAUACAUGUCGUCUGAGUACUAUAUAAUAGUUAAAACUUUCAACAACGGAUCUCUUGGUUCUGGCAUCGAUGAAGAACGCAGCGAAAUGCGAUAAGUAAUGUGAAUUGCAGAAUUCAGUGAAUCAUCGAAUCUUUGAACGCACAUUGCGCCCUGUGGUAUUCCGCAGGGCAUGCCUGUUCGAGCGUCAGUACAACACUCAAGCCUAGCUUGGUCUUGGGCCUCGCCGGAAACGGCGGGCCUUAAAAGUAGUGGCGGCGCCCGCUGGGCUCUAAGCGUAGUAAUACUCCUCGCUAUAGGGACCCGGUGGAUGCUGGCCAGCAACCCCCAACUUUCUAAGUUUGACCUCGGAUCAGGUAGGGAUACCCGCUGAACUUAAGCAUAUCAAUAAGCGGAGGAAAAGAAACCAACAGGGAUUGCCUCAGUAACGGCGAGUGAAGCGGCAACAGCUCAAAUUUGAAAUCUGGUCCUUUCAGGGCCCGAGUUGUA
rnacentral:rRNA from 1 species